rnacentral:rRNA from 1 species
UACGUAGGUGGCAAGCGUUGUCCGGAUUUACUGGGCGUAAAGAGCGCGCAGGCGGCUCGUUAAGUCUGCUGUGAAAUCUCCCGGCUUAACUGGGAGGGGUCAGCAGAUACUGUCGGGCUUGAGGCAGGUAGAGGAAGGUGGAAUUCCCGGUGUAGUGGUGAAAUGCGUAGAUAUCGGGAGGAACACCAGUGGCGAAGGCGGCCUUCUGGGCCUGUCCUGACGCUGAGGCGCGAAAGCGUGGGGAGCGAACCGG